AACGAACGCUGGCGGCAGGCCUAACACAUGCAAGUCGAACGGUUGUAGCAAUACAGCCGUGGCGCACGGGUGAGUAACGCGUGGGAAUCUGCCCAGUAGUACGGAAUAACAGUUGGAAACGACUGACAAUACCGUAUACGCCCUUCGGGGGAAAGUUUUUCGCUAUUGGAUGAGCCCGCGACAGAUUAGCUAGUUGGUGGGGUAAUGGCCUACCAAGGCGACGAUCUGUAGCUGUUCUGAGAGGAAGACCAGCCACACUGGAACUGAGACACGGUCCAGACUCCUACGGAAGGCAGCCGUGGGGAAUAUUGGACAAUGGGCGAAGGCCUGAUCCAGCCAUGCCGCGUGAGUGAUGAAGGCCUUAGGGUUGUAAAGCUCUUUUGGCGGGGAAGAUAAUGACGGUACCCGCAGAAUAAGUUCCGGCUAACUUCGUGCCAGCAGCCGCAGUAA
rnacentral:rRNA from 1 species